rnacentral:rRNA from 1 species
UGGGGAAUAUUGCACAAUGGAGGGAACUCUGAUGCAGCGACGCCGCGUGAACGAAGAAGGCUUUCGAGUCGUAAAGUUCUUUUAUAUGGGAAGAUAAUGACGGUACCAUAAGAAAAAGCCCCGGCUAACUACGUGCCAGCAGCCGCGGUAAUACGUAGGGGGCUAGGGUUGUCCGGAAUCACUGGGCGUAAAGGGUUCGCAGGCGGAAAUGCAAGUCAGGUGUAAAAGGCAGUAGCUUAACUACUGUAAGCAUUUGAAACUGCAUAUCUUGAGAAGAGUAGAGGUAAGUGGAAUUUUUAGUGUAGCGGUGAAAUGCGUAGAUAUUAAAAAGAAUACCGGUGGCGAAGGCGACUUACUGGGCUCAUUCUGACGCUGAGGAACGAAAGCGUGGGUAGCAAACAGG